rnacentral:snoRNA from 1 species
AUGAAGAAAGGGUAGGUAGCUGAGCGGUGAUGAUCUAAUCGGCCCCUGA